rnacentral:rRNA from 1 species
UACGUAGGGGGGCUAGCGUUGUCCGGAAUCAUUGGGCGUAAAGCGCGUGUAGGCGGUCCGGUAAGUCUGCUGUGAAAGUCCAGGGCUCAACCCUGGAAGGCCGGUGGAAACUGUCGGGCUAGAGUCCGGAAGAGGCGAGUGGAAUUCCCGGUGUAGCGGUGAAAUGCGCAGAUAUCGGGAGGAACACCAAUGGCGAAGGCAGCUCGCUGGGACGGUACUGACGCUGAGACGCGAAAGCGUGGGGAGCGAACAGG